CUUCUAGCUGGCACUGCCAGUAUGAGACGCUUGGGGCUGGGGGUGCAGUGAAGGCAGUGAUGUCGAAGUGCCCUUUCCCACGAUCCUGGGCCAUUAGAUCAGGAGCUUGGCUGGUGAACAUUGAGAAGUGAACCAAGAACCAUGAUGUCUAGUAAAGCCCAGUUCCUUCAAGGCUUAUCAGCAGAACAAGACAAGGUUCUAAGAGCUUCCAUGGAGAUCAGAAGAUAUCUAGCACAAGCCACUCUGAGCUGGGCACCAAGGGCUGCAGGCUGUGGUGGAACCACCUCUACUUGGUGAAGGUCACUUUUUGCAUUCUGAUGAAGUGUCCCUGGGGAUUGACUGUCCUGUAACCAACAUAACUGAGAAGGGGUAUGGGUUUAAUCACCUUGUCACCGAGUGUGGGAUUCAGAAAGAGGGUUCUUUCCAGGCAUCUUUCUCCAUGGCUAAAGCCAAGAUAACCUUUCCAUCUCAUAUACAUUGGAAACCUCUUCUAUCUGAUCAACCAACCCCAUUUCCCUUAUAGCAUGAUAAGGAUCCUUAAAGGGGGAAAGGGUGUUGCAGGGCAAAGGACGCUACCUGUGGUAAAGCCAGCUGGGAGACAAGGCAUCCCAAGCUCAGUCAUCUAAAGCAGAUCACUUAGCAUAGACCCUUAGUUAUUAGCAACGUAACAGCAGAUUGAAACAUUCAGAUUUGGAAAGUCCAAGAAUUAGCCUCCUCGUUGAUCAUCAGUUACCCACUAUGUUUUCUAUUACCCUAUAAAUACCUGGUUGUUCUCCAGAGCAAGUCCAAAACACAGCAUAAAGGAGGUGCAGCCCUCCUAAUGCCAGGAAAACCUUCAUCUGGCCAGCACCCAAGGCAACAUCGGUUUGGGGAACAGGAAGUUGUGAGAGGACCAGCUGCUUUGUGUUAUUAUAACUGAAGCUUGUCAGGUGUCCACAAUAAUCCAUCAUUGGGGGCAGCUUGAAGAGAGACUUUACUCAUUAUUAUAAAUAAAACCUCCUAAAAUGUAGCAUUUAUUAUUACUAAAGAUUCAUAAGGCGAUUAGAGUAAAAUGUAUUGUUCGUUAGCACUGAGGAAAAUUUAUGUAGCUGUGUAUUAGGGUUCUCCAGUGAGGUAGAACCAAAUGGUACGUAUGUUUGUAUGUAUGAUAAGGAAUUGUCUCAUGUGAUUAUGGAGGCUAAUAAGUCCCAAGAUCUGUAGUUGGCAAGCUGGAGACUCAGGAGACCUAACAGUGUGGUUCUAGUCCAAAAGCUUGAGACCCAGAGAGCCAGUUUUGGCUUGAGUCUGAAGGCAGGAAAAACCAGUAUCCCAACCUGAAGGCAGUGAGGCAGGAGGAGUUUCCUCUUACUCAGACUCUUUGUUCUAUUGAGGCUUACCCACACUAGGCAGGGCGUUGUGCUUUGCUCAGUCUACAGAGUCAAGUGUUAAUCUCAUCCAGAAACACCCUCACAGACACCCAGAAGAACGAUAAGCCAAAUGUCUUUACACCCUGUGGCCCAGUCAAGAUAGAAUUCACCACCACAAGCUGCAUGGUCAUAUCAUAACAUUGGUCUCUUCUCUAAAGAUCAGGUGCCUUUUCUGUAGAAUCUGUAUGGUCUGCAUAUGGUAUUGGAGACAGGUUAUUUAAACAGCAGAAUAAAAAGGUCAUGAAUGUUUUUCCCUGAAGUCCUUAGACGAGCAGGCAUCAGACAGGGGGCUCUGAGUGAGGUUUAUGUGCAAGGUGAAAUACAAUUUGAGUCUGUUUCACCAGGGUGGUUGUAAGCAAGCUCUGGAAUUUUAAAGAAUUGAACUAAGGAGUAGUUAAGGUUACACGACAGUGUUCUGGGGGUAGAGGGGAGGAGAUACAAUCAGAUAAGGGACAGUAGUUGACGAUAUGUUGCAAUGUGAUUUAGCGUGAAGAGGUAAAAGAACAACGGAGGUACCAUCUGCAGGAAGGGAGAGCAGAUGGGCCAUGGAUGACUAAAUGGGAGGAAAUGAGGGAUAAGAGGCAAAACCAGUUAAUUCUGAGAACCCUCAGACUAUAUUUUCGAGAGAGAAGAUAAUGAUGUGAGUUCAUCGAUUGUUCAACAGUAUUAAUCAGACCCAAAGAAAAGAUAAUAUCUAGAGCCAAUUGGAACCAUUCUCAGCUUUUAGCAACUAGCCUAAGAGUUCCGUUGUGGCUGGGGUGUAGGGGUACAAGAGUGUGUGGCUCCAGGGGUCCCAAACAGGCUGGGUUUGCCACCCACUGCUGACAAAAUCCAAAGGCAGAGUAAUGAGUGGCCGUGAAGCAAGAAAGGAAUUUAUUUCAGUGAGGCCAACACCGCGAAGACAGCAGACUAAGGUCUCAAAGACUAUCUCCAAAGUGCUAAAAAUAUUUCCAGGUUUAUAUAAGGAAAAUGUGGGGCAAAGGUCAGUGGGUAUGUGCAGGUGGGCAGUGAAGGUCAAAUAGGUCACUGUCUUGGAGUCAAUCACAGGCGUUGUCUUCCUGGCUCAGCUCAGUCCUUAUUGCUUGAGGGGGUUGUUUCGGUUCCCAUCAGGGGAUGCUUUGCCCUUAGGGUCUUCUGCCUGAGCCAAGAGACAAGCUGGAAUGAAGAACCCAACUAGAAAGGCUCAGGUCAAAAUGGAGGCAGGUGAAGCCAUCUUUUACCAUGACUCAUGGUCAUCGAGAAACCACCCUUUCAAACUAUCAGCUAAACUGUACUCCUACACCUGAAUCUUGCCCAGAACAUGUCCAAAUCAAGGAAACAUGUAGAAGGUAACUCCACAAAGGCCUUCCUUAUGCUAGAUCACAGGUUAAGAACCUCUCAAGCAACUGGAAUUUGAUAGAGCUGAGAAGCCUAAAGUCGGUUCAUGCAUAAUGCUACACUGACAUGUAUAUGAUCGCUUCAUUAAUCUGGAGAACAAAGAGAAAGCUCUCCACACACUUGAAACUCCAUAUUCCUGAGACCUGGAGUAUAGACCAAGGAAGUGGACGCAUUUUGAGUCAUCUUUAGAGCAUCAUUAGGACUUUUGAAGAUGUUGUCCAUAGGGUAGCCUUCAUCCUUAUGUAGUGGUUCCCAAAAUGUGGGCCCUGGAGUGGCAGAAUCAGCAUCACCUGGGAACUUGUUACAAAUGCAAAUUCUUGCUGUGUUUUAACAAGCUCCCCGGGUGAUUGUGAUUCAUGAUAAAGUUCAAGGGCCUCUUUACUUUGUGGAGGGCUACCCUGUGCGAUGAUUUUUAGGAAUACUAAACACUCUGAUUGAGCUGCUGAGGGACUAAUUAUUCACUGUUAUAUCUAUCCACCUGGGAAAGCUGAGAGGCCUAGCUUCCUCUGUUUCCAAUUUUUGACAAAAUCUAACUUGGUGAUUAUACUUUUUAAAGAGAUUUCAAGGGUCAAGUUAAUCACACAUUGUGAUCAUUGGCCGAUGCAAGACCCCCCCCUCUUGAUUUAACCGAUGUAAUCAAUCAAUCCUCCAUCAAAGCUAACUGUUCUAAUGUAUUGGAUGAAUAGAUUUUGAGUUCAAUGUGAAAUGUGGGCUGUUUUGUUUGCAUAAAUCCCUAAUUACUUUAAAUGGCAUUAUUGUAGAUACCUCAUUCUGUCUCAGGGCUUUACCCUUCCUGUUAUGUCUAGAUAUCCAUAUGGCUGGCUACUUGCUUACUUUGUCUCUCUUUUUUAAUGUUUACUUUUUGAGAGAGAGAGAGAGAGAGAGAGAGAGAGAGAGAGAGCAGGGGAGGGGUCGAGAUAGAGGGACACACGGAAUCUGAAGAAGGCUCCAGGCUGUCAGUACAGAGCCCAAUGCAUGGCUAAAACCCACAAACCAUGAGAUCAUGACCUGAGCCAAAGUCGAAUGCUCAACUGACUGAGUCACCCAGGUACCCCUUCUUGUCUCUUUAUUCACAACUAUCUUUCUGUGAGUCCUUUUCUCUCCACCCUACCUAAAAUUUCACACACAUUAACAUUUAUAUCCCCUUUAUUUUUUUCCUUCUUAGCACUAAACAUAUACUAUAUAUUUUACCUAUUUUGUUUUUCUUAUAUAUUAGGAUGUCAGGUCAUGAAGGGAAGAAAUUUGUCUUUUUU